GUUGCCGUUAAAGCUCCGUAGUCGAACUUCCGGUCCCUGUGGGCCGGUCCGCCUUCUUGGUGUGUACUUGCUCCACGGGGACUUACCUCCUGGUGAGCUGCCAUGUCCUUUACUGGGUGUGGUAGGGAACCAGGACGUUUACUUUGAAAAAAUUAGAGUGUUCAAAGCAGGCCUACGCCCGAAUACAUUAGCAUGGAAUAAUAGAAUAGGACGAGCGUUCCCAUUUUGUUGGUUUCUGAGAUCGCCGUAAUGAUUAAUAGGGAUAGUUGGGGGCAUUUGUAUUCCGUCGUCAGAGGUGAAAUUCUUGGAUUGCCGGAAGACAAACUAUUGCGAAAGCAUUUGCCAAGGAUGUUUUCAUUGAUCAAGAACGAAGGAAGGGGGAUCGAAAACGAUCAGAUACCGUUGUAGUCUCUUCUGUAAACUAUGCCAAUUGGGGAUUAGCUCAGGAUUUUUAAUGACUGAGUUAGCACCCGAAGAGAAAUCUUUAAAUGAGGUUCGGGGGGGAGUAUGGUCGCAAGGCUGAAACUUAAAGGAAUUGACGGAAGGGCACCACCAGGUGUGGAGCCUGCGGCUUAAUUUGACUCAACACGGGGAAACUCACCAGGUCCAGACACAAUAAGGAUUGACAGAUUGAUAGCUCUUUCUUGAUCUUGUGGUUGGUGGUGCAUGGCCGUUCUUAGUUGGUGGAGUGAUUUGUCUGGUUAAUUCCGAUAACGAACGAGACCUUAACCUGCUAAAUAGACCAGUCGACUUUGGUUGACUGCUGUCUUCUUAGAGGACUAUCAGCGUUUAGCUGAUGGGAGUUUGAGCAUAACAGGUCUGUGAUGCCCUUAGAUGUCUGGGCCGCACGCGCGCUACACUGAC
rnacentral:rRNA from 1 species